rnacentral:rRNA from 1 species
AACGAACGCUGGCGGCAUGCCUAACACAUGCAAGUCGAACGAGACCUUCGGGUCUAGUGGCGCACGGGUGCGUAACGCGUGGGAACCUGCCCUUAGGUUCGGAAUAACUCCCCGAAAGGGGUGCUAAUACCGGAUAAUGUCUUCGGACCAAAGAUUUAUCGCCUUUGGAUGGGCCCGCGUUGGAUUAGCUAGUUGGUAGGGUAAAAGCCUACCAAGGCGACGAUCCAUAGCUGGUCUGAGAGGAUGAUCAGCCACACUGGGACUGAGACACGGCCCAGACUCCUACGGGAGGCAGCAGUGGGGAAUAUUGGACAAGGGGCGAAAGCCUGAUCCAGCAAUGCCGCGUGAGUGAUGAAGGCCUUAGGGUUGUAAAGCUCUUUUACCCGGGAUGAUAAUGACAGUACCGGGAGAAUGAGCUCCGGCUAACUCCGUG